GAUGCGCAUGCGCAGACAGAGUGUGCGAGCGGCGGGCCUUGACCUUUCGGGAAAAAAAAACUCACGGACGGUGACAGCGAAACGGAUAACAGUCUUCAGUACCUGCUGGACUUUGAAGCUCUGGAUUCUGGGACUGUUAGAAAAGCUCCAAAAAAAUGAGGAAGAGGAGGGGGAGAAACACAAUUAGGUUGAAUUACAAUUGGAUGGAAGGCGAGGACAAGGAGAAGGAAGCUUAGGAUGAGGAGGAAGAGAAGCAGCAGGAGCAUCUUUAGGGAUCCCUAUGAGAGGCAGCGGCAAGAGGGGAGACCUCGGGUCAUCCAGCUGGAGAGCCUGACCAGGAGGAGUCGAACAUUAACUCAGCUCUUCCAGGGCACCCUGCAGACUCUGCUGUUGGCAUCGCUCUAGGAUGACGUGAACGCCAAACUGGAGUCCAUCACAGGUCAACUGCAGCUCCUUGUCUCAGAGUGGGAGGGGUUUGAAGCACAAAGGGAGGAACUUGUCGUUUGGUUGGCUGAUAUGGAUGUCCGCCUGAGUGAGGUUGACCAGCUGACAGGAAACACCAGUGAAAAACUGAAACAACUGCAGGUGUGGGCUUGUUUUGAUAUGACAUAUACAGGGAGUGCAGAAUUAUUAGGAGAGUUGUAUUUUUGAGGAAUAAUUUUAUUAUUGAACAACAACCAUGUUCUCAAUGAACCCAAAAAACUCAUUAAUAUCAAAGCUGAAUGUUUUUGGAAGUAGUUUUUAGUUUGUUUUUAGUUUUAGCUAUUUUAGGGGGAUAUCUGUGUGUGCAGGUGACUAUUACUGUGCAUAAUUAUUAGGCAACUUAACAAAAAACAAAUAUAUACCCAUUUCAAUUAUUUAUUUUUACCAGUGAAACCAAUAUAACAUCUCCACAUUCACAAAUAUACAUUUCUGACAUUCAAAAACAAAACAAAAACCAAUCAGCGACCAAUAUAGCCACCUUUCUUUGCAAGGACACUCAAAAGCCUGCCAUCCAAGGAUUCUGUCAGUGUUUUGAUCUGUUCACCAUCAACAUUGCGUGCAGCAGCAACCACAGCCUCCCAGACACUGUUCAGAGAGGUGUACUGUUUUCCCUCCUUGUAAAUCUCACAUUUGAUGAUGGACCACAGGUUCUCAAUGGGGUUCAGAUCAGGUGAACAAGGAGGCCAUGUCAUUAGUUUUUCUUCUUUUAUACCCUUUCUUGCCAGCCACGCUGUGGAGUACUUGGACGCGUGUGAUGGAGCAUUGUCCUGCAUGAAAAUCAUGUUUUUCUUGAAGGAUGCAGACUUCUUCCUGUACCACUGCUUGAAGAAGGUGUCUUCCAGAAACUGGCAGUAGGACUGGGAGUUGAGCUGGACUCCAUCCUCAACCCGAAAAGGCCCCACAAGCUCAUCUUUGAUGAUACCAGCCCAAACCAGUACUCCACCUCCACCUUGCUGGCGUCUGAGUCGGACUGGAGCUCUCUGCCCUUUACCAAUCCAGCCACGGGCCCAUCCAUCUGGCCCAUCAAGACUCACUCUCAUUUCAUCAGUCCAUAAAACCUUAGAAAAACCAGUCUUGAGAUAUUUCUUGGCCCAGUCUUGACGUUUCAGCUUGUGUGUCUUGUUCAGUGGUGGUCGUCUUUCAGCCUUUCUUACUUUUUUUUUUUUUUUUUAAACACUUUAAAGUAUACAAAAUUACAUAUAAAAUUUACACACACAUACAAUUACAUAUGCAAAACUGUAAUCACACACCACUCACCAAAGAAAAAGUCAAACAAGGAGGAAAAUCGAGCAUCUGAGUCCACAAACCACUUUUAAAACUUACAAUUUCAAUACGUUCCAGGGGAAAACUUUCCCAAGUUUCAGGUCCAUUGUUCGUCUUCUACGCAGAUCUGCAAUGAUAUGUUUACUCACCACAUCACUACUUAUCAUUUUUUGUUCAAACACUCCUUUGGCACGGGUUUUCCAAAUAUGUGUGUUUAUUACACACAUUACUAACCAAAAGAGUCUCCUUUUGUCGUCACACAUUUUUUCUUUAAACAAACCAUAUUUAACUGCUUUAAUAUUGACAUCCACAUCAUAGCCAAUCUCUGUCAUCUUCUGCCUGAUCUCAGUUGUCCUAUAACAAUCCAAUAGAAGAUGUUCUAGGGUCUCAUCUUCAUCACAGCCUGUCAUAGGACAUUUCAUGGUGGUAACGAAACAACUCCACUGUACCACCGCCCUCACAGGGAGGCGCCCGAGCGAGAUGAGCCAUACCACGUCUCUCAUGCUUUCGGAUAAUAGUUGGUCUUGUACAUUUUUAACUAUUAAAGGAUUUUCAUCUUGAUUUGCAUACUUAUAUUGGAUUACACCUUCGUUUUUGGAUUCAUUAAUCUUUUUAUAAAUAUUUUUCGUGUUCUCUUGGAGAAUAUUUAAACCAUAUUGUUCCCAUUGACUAGAUAAAUCACCAAACAUAAGUCUGUGGUAUGGAACGCCCGCUCUGGCCCUGCCUCUUUUCUUUUGCCACAAUUCCUCUUUCCCUCGAACCCACGGGGCACCCCGAGAAAUUGCACUUUGAGUAAUUUUUAUAAAAGGGAUUCGCAAGACAAUCUCUAAGUCUGGGGCUCCCAAGCCCCCGUACUUCCUAUUCUUGUACAUAAAUUUUCUCUUAGUCACUUCUCGAUUGGAUCCCCAGAUAAAUUUAAUGCACAUCUUAGUUAUUUUCAUUACAGUUGUUCUCGGGGGAGGAAAAAUUGCGGCAAGGAACAGGAGUUUGGAAAUUAUGUGUGUUUUUACAAUAUUAAUACGUGUUUUAUAAUUUGUAUCUUUGUUCUCCCAUUUCAUAAUUUCCAUUUUAAUUUCAUUUUCUUUCUUAUUCCAAUUUAAUAAACUAGAGUCAGUAUUAUCAAUCCAUAUACCCAAAAUUUUAAUCUCCCUACAUAGAGAGAUCAUCAUUUUAGGUUGUCUGGUCUGAAGUCCAAGCCACACCCCUUCAGUUUUUUCUUGGUUAAGCUUAGCACCUGAUGCCUGUUCGUAGUGGUGUAGUAUCUCCAUAACUGAAGACAGUUCGUUUUGAUUUCUAAUUAUCACCGACACGUCAUCUGCAUAUGCCAAAGCUGCGAUUUUAUGGGAUUUGUCAGCCUUUCUUACCUUGGCCAUCUCUCUGAGUAUUGCACACCUUGUGCUUUUGGGCACUCCAGUGAUGUUUCAGCUCUGAAAUAUGGCCAAACUGGUGGCAAGUGGCAUCUUGGCAGCUGCACGCUUGACUUUUCUCAGUUCAUGGGCAGUUAUUUUGCGCCUUGGUUUUUCCACACGCUUCUUGCGACCCUGUUGACUAUUUUGAAUGAAACGCUUGAUUGUUCGAUGAUCACGCUUCAGAAGCUUUGCAAUUUUGAGACUGCUGCAUCCCUCUGCAAGAUAUCUCACUAUUUUUGACUUUUCUGAGCCUGUCAAGUCCUUCUUUUGACCCAUUUUGCCAAAGGAAAGGACGUUGCCUAAUAAUUAUGCACACCUGAUAUAGGGUGUUGAUGUCAUUAGACCACACCCCUUCUCAUUACAGAGAUGCACAUCACCUAAUAUUGCUUAAUUGGUAGUAGGCUUUCGAGCCUAUACAGCUUGGAGUAAGACAACAUGCAUGAAGAGGAUGAUGUGGACAAAAUACUCAUUUGCCUAAUAAUUCUGCACUCCCUGUAUUUGAUAUGAAACAUACGUCAGAGACAUUGUCCUAAACUGGACUAACAAAGGACCAUGAGUACAACAUGAAAUGUACAUUACAUAGCGUAAUGCUAAAGUUCAUUGAUCAUUUUAAUCAUAAACUUGUUGUUGAAAUAUUUUUACUGAACAUGCAAACAUCUGCUGAUGAAAAUGUGUUGAUUUAUUGGUCUGUUAUGAAGCUAUUGCUAUUUCUAAUGUGUUUUAUCACUUUCGGAUGUUUUAUUAAUUAAACAAUACAUGUAUUGUUGUGUUAUCUGUAGCUAUAGUAUUUAUAUAUAUUUAUUUAUAGUAUAGCAAAUAUAUUUAAUUAUUACUGUUUAAAACACUAAUAUGUGACAUGUAUUAGUAGUGAUGUUGUGCUGAGGGUUAAAAUGCCUUUUUGUCUUUUUGUAACUACAAAAUGACAAUAAACCAUUAAUAUAU
ensembl:lncRNA